rnacentral:rRNA from 1 species
UACGGAGGAUGCAAGCGUUAUCCGGAAUGAUUGGGCGUAAAGCGUCCGCAGGUGGCUGUGUAAGUCUGCUGUCAAAGAGCGAAGCUCAACUUCGUAAAGGCAGUGGAAACUACACGGCUAGAGUGCGUUCGGGGCAGAGGGAAUUCCUGGUGUAGCGGUGAAAUGCGUAGAUAUCUGGAGGAACACCGGUGGCGAAGGCGGCAUCCUGGACCAACACUGACGCUGAGGAGCGAAAGCCAGGGGAGCAAACGGG